UUUUUUAUAGUGUAAAUAACACAUUACAUUUUCAUUGUAAAACUAGAAAUCUUUUUUUCUUAAAAAUA
rnacentral:tRNA from 1 species